CUAUAACAGUAUUUUGGGGGUGGGUCUUGUGAUUCUGUUGGAUGGUGUAUAAAUCUGUUUGUUGAGAAAUGCAACCUCAACAGAGCUCCAGAAUUGAUUUGGUUGAAUUGAAAACUCAGAUAGUGAAGAAGGUUGGGGCUGAGAGGUUCAAGAAGUAUUUUCACUACUUGAAUAGGUUUUUAAGUCAGAAGCUGAGCAAGAGUGACUUUGAUAGGUCAUGUUUUCGCCUACUUGGAAGGGAGAAUCUUCCCCUGCACAAUCAGCUUAUCCGUUCCAUCUUGAAGAAUGCAUGUCAGGCCAAGAUUCCACCACCAGUUUAUGAAGCAGGUCCCACAAAAUCGGCAAUACAAAUAGGAAAANNNNNNNNNNNNGAAGAUGGGCUUGACCAAAGUGGAUCCCUUCUUCCAAAUCAAAAUGUUUCCAUUUGGUCGAAUGGGGUUUUGCAGCCAAUGUCCCCACGGAAGAUUAGGUCAGUGAUG
rnacentral:misc_RNA from 1 species